rnacentral:rRNA from 1 species
GAUGAACGCUGGCGGCGUGCCUAAUACAUGCAAGUCGAGCGAACAGAUAAGGAGCUUGCUCCUUUGACGUUAGCGGCGGACGGGGGAGUAACACGUGGGUAACCUACCUAUAAGACUGGAAUAACUCCGGGAAACCGGGGCUAAUGCCGGAUAACAUUUAGAACCGCAUGGUUCUAAAGUGAAAGAUGGUUUUGCUAUCACUUAUAGAUGGACCCGCGCCGUAUUAGCUAGUUGGUAAGGUAACGGCUUACCAAGGCAACGAUACGUAGCCGACCUGAGAGAGUGAUCGCCCACACUGGAACUGAGACACGGUCAAGCCUCCUACGGGAGGCAGAAGUAGGAAACCUUCGGCAAUGGGCGAAAGCCUGACGGAGCAACGCGGCGUGAGUGAUACAGGUCUUCGGAUCGUAAACCUCUGUUAUUAGGGAAAAACAAAUGUGUAAGUAAAUGUGCACGUCUUGACGGUACCUAAUCAGAAAGCCACGGCUAACUACGUG